ACCCGGUUAGCUGAGCCGGUAGAGCGUUGGACUUUUAAUCCAAAGGUCAAGGGUUCAAGUCCCUUAUCGGGCU
rfam:Ciona savignyi cont_22641, whole genome shotgun sequence.